AGUACAAGCCUCAGCAAGGUGAAACCGCGAAUGGCUCAUUAAAUCACACCUAAUGUACUGGACAGUCUCAGUUACUUGGAUAACUGCGGUAAUUCUGGAGCUAAUACAUGCGCACAAGCCCCGACUCACGGAGGGGCGCUUUUAUUAGACUAAAACCAAACGGCUUCGGCCGUCCCACUGGUGAAUCUGAAUAACUUUGAGCUGAUCGCACGGCCUUGUGCCGGCGACGUGUCCUUCCAAGGUGUGCCCUAUCAACUGUCGACUGUGGCAUAGACGCCCACAGUGGUUUUGACGGGUAACGGGGAAUUAGGGUUCGAUUCCGGAGAGGGAGCCUGAGAAACGGCUACCACUUCUAAGGAAGGCAGCAGGCACGCAAAUUACCCACUGGCCGAAGGCCGAGGUAGUGACGAAAAAUAACGAUACCAGACUCAUCCGAGGCCUGGUAAUCGGAAUGAGCACACUUUAAAUCCUUUAGCGAGGAACCAUUGGAGGGCAAGUCUGGUGCCAGCAGCCGCGGUAAUUCCAGCUCCAAUAGUGUAUAUUAAAGUUGUUGUGGUUAAAAAGCUCGUAGUUGGAUCUCGGCAGGCAGGGGGCGGUCCGUUAUUUGACGCGACUGCCCCGUUUGCCUGUGUUUCUUUGGCGGAACUCGCAGGGUGCUCUUCGCCGAGUGUCCUGUCGGGGCCGCCGGGUUUACUUUGAAAAAAUUAGAGUGCUCCAAGCAGGCUCGACACGCCUGAAUAUCCGUGCAUGGAAUAAUGGAAUAGGACGUCGUUCCUAUUUUGUUGGUUUUAGGGAAUCGACGUAAUGAUUAAUAGGGACAGCCGGGGGCAUUAGUAUUCAGACGACAGAGGUGAAAUUCUUGGACCGUCUGGCGACUCACUGCUGCGAAAGCGUUUGCCAAGUAUGUUUUCAUUAAUCAAGAACGAAAGUUAGAGGUUCGAAGGCGAUCAGAUACCGCCCUAGUUCUAACCAUAAACGAUGCCAGCUAGCGAUCUGCGGGCGUUUUUAUUGUAGGCCCCGCAGGAAGCUUCCGGGAAACCAAAGCUUUUGGGUUCCAGGGAAAGUAUGAUUGCAAAAUUGAAAUUUAAAGAAAUUGACGGAACGGCACCACCAGGCGUGGAACUUGCGGCUUAAUUUGACUCAACACUGGAAAUCUCACCAGGCCCGGACACCGGUAAGGAUUGACAGAUUGAGAGCUCUUUCUCGAUUCGGUGGGUGGUGGUGCAUGGCCGUUCUUAGU
rnacentral:rRNA from 1 species